GAGAUUUUACUUCGUUUUUUUUGCUUUGCAUUGGACCUCGACAAAGCAAUCGUGGAACUGGAGACGGAGUAAGACAGCAGCCUUCCCUGGGUCGUUGGUCACCGCCUGUUGAACAACAUCACGAACGAUUGACUCUGCUGAUGGACAUGUUUCCGAGUAGAAUCCAAACUGAAGUUGUGCCGCUGAAUAACCUAAUUGAUCAUGAAAAUAUAACAAAACUAGAAAUAAUGCAAUAGUGAUCAUUUUGGGAUCAAACAAACGAAUUGAUAUAUCUUCUCGUAUUCUACGGCUC
rnacentral:sRNA from 1 species